rnacentral:rRNA from 1 species
GACGAACGCUGGCGGCGUGCCUAAUACAUGCAAGUUGAGCGAUGAAGAUUGGUUCUUGCACCAUUUUGAAGAGCCGCGCACGGGUGAGUAACGCGUGUGGCAUCUGCCUUUGAUUGGGGGACAUCAUUUGGAAACGAAUGCUAAUCCCGCAUAACAACUUUAAACAUAAGUUUUAAGUUUGAAAUUUGCCAUUUCAUCAUUCACUGAUGAUCCCGCGUUGUAUUAGCUAGUUGGUGAGGUAAAGGCUCACUAAGGCGAGGAUACAUAGCCGCACUGAGAGGGUGAGCAGCCACAUUGGGACGGAGACAGGGCACAAACGCCUACGGGAGGCAGCAGUAGGGAAUCUUGGGCAAGGGACGAAAGUCUGACCGAGCAACGCGGAGGGAGUGAAGAAGGUUGUCGGAUCGGAAAACACUGUUGGUAGAGAAGAACGUGGGUGAGAGUGGAAAGCACAGCAAGUGACGGUAACUGCCCAGAAAGGAACGGCUAACUACGUG